GAUGAACGCUGGCGGCGUGCCUAAUACAUGCAAGUCGAGCGAACAGACGAGGAGCUUGCUCCUUUGACGUUAGCGGCGGACGGGUGAGUAACACGUGGGUAACCUACCUAUAAGACUGGGAUAACUUCGGGAAACCGGAGCUAAUACCGGAUAAUAUUUCGAACCGCAUGGUUCGAUAGUGAAAGAUGGCUCUGCUAUCACUUAUAGAUGGACCUGCGCCGUAUUAGCUAGUUGGUAAGGUAACGGCUUACCAAGGCAACGAUACGUAGCCGACCUGAGAGGGUGAUCGGCCACACUGGAACUGAGACACGGUCCAGACUCCUACGGGAGGCAGCAGUAGGGAAUCUUCCGCAAUGGGCGAAAGCCUGACGGAGCAACGCCGCGUGAGUGAUGAAGGUCGUCGGAUCGGAAAACUCUGUUAUUAGGGAAGAACAAACGUGUAAGUAACUGUGCACGUCGUGACGGUACCUAAUCAGAAAGCCACGGCUAACUACG
rnacentral:rRNA from 1 species